GAUGAACGCUGGCGGCGUGCCUAAUACAUGCAAGUCGAGCGAACAGACGAGGAGCUUGCUCCUCUGACGUUAGCGGCGGACGGGUGAGUAACACGUGGAUAACCUACCUAUAAUACUGGGAUAACUUCGGGAAACCGGAGCUAAUACCGGAUAAUAUAUUGAACCGCAUGGUUCAAUAGUGAAAGACGGUUUUGCUGUCACUUAUAGAUGGAUCCGCGCCGCAUUAGCUAGUUGGUAAGGUAACGGCUUACCAAGGCGACGAUGCGUAGCCGACCUGAGAGGGUGAUCGGCCACACUGGAACUGAGACACGGUCCAGACUCCUACGGGUGGCAGCAGUAGGGAAUCUUCCGCAAUGGGCGAAAGCCUGACGGAGCCACGCCGCGUGAGUGAUGAAGGUCUUCGGAUCGUAAAACUCUGUUAUUAGGGAAGAACAAAUGUGUAAGUAACUAUGCACGUCUUGACGGUACCUAAUCAGAAAGCCACGGCUAACUACGUG
rnacentral:rRNA from 1 species